ACCAUCACACUGGGGACCGGCUUCUCUGCUCUCCCGUUAUGGGGGUCGGGGGAAUGAUGGGUCAAGGGUCUUCCGAAGAAAGCGAGAAAGGAACAGGCGCCUUCAAAAGCCCACUUGGCGAUGGGUUACAGUAAGAGUUUCAGAGUGCUGGCCACACCAAAGCAUCAGCCCUGGCUCUAAACUCCGUUACAGUAAGGAAUUACAAAUCCUGUGUUUGUACUCCAGGAAGUCUGCAUUAUCACGAGGAGCUUGGAAAGGAGGUAACACACUCAAGGCAAAUUUCAAGUAACUCAUCCUGGAGGCAGCUGCCUACUCUGCAGCUGUGGUUCUCCACCACAGAGAGAAGAAAAGGGAGGGAGAUGGAGUGCGCAGGUCUGAGAAGGCUUUCAUUCUGGAGCAUCUGCAGGAGCCUGCACCAUGGCCCAGUAGCACCCCUUUUUCUCCAUGAGCUGCUGGUGGGUUCCCCCCUCCCGGAUAGCGCCUCCUUCCAGAAAGAGGAUGUGGUCAGCCUGCUCCACCAGGCUGAGGUGCUGGGUGAUGAGAAGCACUGAGCGGGAGUACCGCUCAGGGCUUUCGUACAGGAGCUGCUCCACCUGAGGAAAGACAUCGGACCGUCAGAGCCGGGGACUACCCUCAGCCCAGGGAGACACCUGUGUUUCCAGGGCUGGGACUGACCUCACAGGAUCACUGCUGGCUCUGCUAACAACCCCAAGGACACCAACGUUUCCCAUUCUGAGUACUUCUCCGCAAACCCUUUGUUUCAUUAAGGACUGUUUUACAUGAAGGGUGCAAAAGUAGGAUAAAAAUGAGAACCCUAGGGUGAAACACGUGACAGAAGAAUAAAGACUAUUGAAUAGUCCUCUUCUCUACCCAUGGACUUGGCAUU
ensembl:lncRNA PSMB8-AS1 PSMB8 antisense RNA 1 (head to head)